AGGACCAAGGGCAACAGCAGGAGCCCUGUUCCCCAACCUGAUUUGAAAUUUAUGCUGAUGAAACAAGAGAGAUUUUAAUAUAUGAUGGAAGGAAGUUGGAUUAACAUUGAUCUUCCUGGAAGGAUGAGUGCUCCAUCAUAAGCCAAUUUAACUGGUGAUCCUCUUUUGCUUGCCCCUGUACUACCAAGGCUCAGCUCUUCAUUCUUUAUGAAGCUUUCCUCGAACAGAGUGCACCUGCUGCCCCAGAGACCCAUUGUACAUUGUAUGACAACUCUGAUGCUCACAUUCAAUCAUUGGCCCCAUAAAGUUUGGCCUGGCCAUGAAAUCAUAAUCCCCUUUCCCUCUUC